rnacentral:rRNA from 1 species
AACGAACGCUGGCGGCAUGCCUAACACAUGCAAGUCGAACGAGACCUUCGGGUCUAGUGGCGCACGGGUGCGUAACGCGUGGGAACCUGCCCUUAGGUUCGGAAUAACUCCCCGAAAGGGGUUCUAAUACCGGAUAAUGUCUUCGGACCAAAGAUUUAUCGCCUUUGGAUGGGCCCGCGUUGGAUUAGCUAUUUGGUAGGGUAAAAGCCUACCAAGGCGACGAUCCAUAGCUGGUCUGAGAGGAUGAUCAGCCACACUGGGACUGAGACACGGCCCAGACUCCUACGGGAGGCAGCAGUGGGGAAUAUUGGACAAUGGGCGAAAGCCUGAUCCAGCAAUGCCGCGUGAGUGAUGAAGGCCUUAGGGUUGUAAAGCUCUUUUACCCGGGAUGAUAAUGACAGUACCGGGAGAAUAAGCUCCGGCUAACUCCGUG